GACGAACGCUGGCGGCGUGCUUAACACAUGCAAGUCGAACGAAGUGGCGAACGGGUGAGUAACGCGUAAUCAACCUGCCCUUCAGAGGGGGAUAACAGUUGGAAACGACUGCUAAUACCGCAUAGUGAAGGAGGGGAUUGCGUCUGAUUAGCUCGUUGGGGGGGGAACGGCCCACCAAGGGGAUGAUCAGUAGCCGGGCUGAGAGGAUGAACGGCCACAUUGGGACUGGGACAAGGCCCAGACUCCUAAGGGAGGGAGCAAUGGGGGAUCUUCCGAAAUGGACGAAAGUCUGACGGAGCAACGCCGCGUGGGGGAUGACGGCCUUCGGGUUGUAAAGCUCUGUUAAUCGGGACGCGGUACCGGAAUAGAAAGCCACGGCUAACUACGUGCCAGCAGCCGCGGUAAUUC
rnacentral:rRNA from 1 species